AUUAUGCUAAUUGUGAACGAGCGCCCUAUUUACGAAUGAUUGGAUUUCAUUAACAUGCACAUUUAAUUCAAAUCUUGG